AUUUAUUGAAUAAAUUUUUUUUUAUCUGUUCUUAUCAGCUUAAUAUCUGAUACACUCUCCAUUGGAGAGUCAGAAUAUUAAUCUGAUUUUUGGAAAUCGACGGAGCGUUUGGGGCUUGCUCCACCUCUGUCACGAGUCGGCCCGGCAUUGCAGUGCCGCUGGGAUCGGCUCAAUAAGC
rnacentral:snRNA from 1 species